CUCAAAAUCUUUCAACACCUGUACACCAUUUUGCUUCUCCCAUUCACAAACUGAAUUCAGGGCUAACUGGCUGCCAGGGGUUGGAAGAGUUCACUGAACCUUCAAAGUGCACAGCUGUUAUCUUUGACUAGUGGCCAAAAACAAAAUUAUAGCUUUGGUAAGAGAAUUCUCAGAAUUCAGCUCACCAUAGGAUAGCCGUGCUUGAGCGUCACACAGAGGGAAAGAGGGCCCUUUGUCCGUGGGCCCGCUGUUUGGUUGAAUAUGCCGGAGUCAUGGAGUACAUCACGUAGGUGCAAAUUUCCUGUUUUGAGUCCUAGCAGGCUGACUCAUUUGCUGAAUGUUUCUUACCACAUUCCUAGCCUAAACCUCAACUGUCACUAAAAAAAUAAGUUUAACAGAAAAAGCUCCACAAUGUAAGAUGGUAAGAGGCUAAAAAGGAGCGCUGCUUUUCUGCAGGUUGGAUUAAUAAAAAGUGUAGUGCCACAUGCAAACCUACAUAAAUGUAAUUUUGGAGGUUUGAAUACUCAGAAUGUGUGUGCAUCAUAAAUUAUUCAUACUGAAAGAGACGAGAAUCAUUUGUUCAUUAAAACAAUGUAUUAGGAAAACUUGAAAUUAGAGGCUUCAACAUUCAUGAUCUGCUCAAGGCUUGACCUGACCAUGCACAGCAAUAACACAUCACGAUUAGAAGUAGGCAGCUCGAUCCUGAUAUCAACAGUAUUUCAGUAGCCUAUGUGGCCCGCCUGAAUUGUGCUAAAUAAAAAGUUGGGGGGAGAAAUGAAAAAAAAAAUACAUAAUAAACAUGCACUAGGAAAAAUGUCUGAACCUUUUUGUGUUGAUGUAUAUUUUAUUUAGAGCCCAUAACACAUUUAAACAACAGCAGUGUUUUAGAGACAAGCAUGUUAACAUUUCAGGCCUUUAAAAAAACAAUUGCAAAAUACAUGGAAAGCUGAAAGAUGUGUUUAGUUGUUUUAACUAAUUACGGAAAGUGGGUUAGUCAGGAUUUGUAAAUUGAUGAUGAUUCAGCUCAUAAAUCAUGGCACGCUGCUCUCCCCUACCAUAGACUGCUUUUAUUGGUUAAAAGAAUUGGCAAUACUGGCCCUGUAUUUACUUGGUAUUGCGAGUAAAUUAUUAAUGUGUAUGGUCAGGAAGUGAUCUAAAUUUUAUAAGUUCCUAAAUACAAUAGUAAAGUCUUUAAGGGCCAGACUAUGUCAUGUAACCUGCAUCUCUAUCUUUGCCCUGUACAGCUGAACAACCCCCCUGCAUAGAGCAGGUCCUGAGGGGGGUUUGGCUCAAGUCCAGUGCACACUUUGAUGCAAUGUUUUUAGGAGUUUGAGGGCAACAGGGCAGCAGUUAUUUCUUCCCUCCAGGAUGGUGAGGGCUAUGGGGUGCUUGUUUUACUCAGCAGUAUGGGAGGAAAAAAAGUUGUGGUGGAACCGCAGUGACAGAUAAACUCGAAUAAGGAAAUGCACAACGGAAACUGGGAUAUACAAGCUGAAUUUAUGCAUCUAUAAAAUAGGCCGUGACUAACAGUCAUUUUCAUUCCAAAUUAAUUUCCUUAAGUAUUUGAUUGCUUUGUGAAAUGGCAGAAAAUGUUAAAUGCACAGCAAUUUCCUAAAAAAAUAAUGUUUUCUGUCCCGAGAAAAUAAUCACAAUUGAGGCAGCUGGAAGUGCGCAAUGCUGAACAGUGAAUUGAGUAACUUAAAUGCCACGUCAAUGUAAAAUACUGGAUUUUUCUGUAAAUUCACUAAUCAAUUAAUUGACUUGCUCUAGGACACCCAUUACUAACAGAGCAGUGAAUUAAAAUCCAUAUUAAAUUAUCAUAGAUGACAGAUCUUUCCUCAUUUUUUUUUCCUAUAGAAAGUUAUUUUUGAGCUUCAGAGAGCGUGAGAGAGAGUCCACUGGACCAUUUCUUCAAACCCCUCUGGAUGAUGCUUAGUCCCUCUGAACAUGUACACAGAGUCUCUGACCUUUCAUCUAAGCUAAACAAAGAAGGUUCUGAACAGACCCUGGCACCAGUGGGAGAGGUCAAUCCAUUGUGGUAGAGGACACAGAUGUUCCUGCUAUUAAAGAUUCAAAAGCUUCCGUGUAGAUGCGUAUUUGUGUACAACUGGGUGGGCCAGAGAAAGGCAGAAAGCUGUGGACAGAGAUGAUGAAAGUGUCCUGUUUUGGCUCUUUCUCUCCAUGUGCAUCUGUUACUUGUGUCUGUGUUUUUCGGGUGGGGCCUCCGGUCGUCUCGUAACGAAAUUUAAAAAGGUAAAAGAUGCGCGACCACUGCAAACCUGAUGGCACUGAUCGGCCAUAACAAACAGCAUGGGAAUGAUUGAUUCAGAUAGCAUAAACAACGUGAAGUUAGAAGACUGAUACAACACAAUGCAACGUGAAACAGUUCAACUUUGACCUUGGAUGCUAACAAUGAAAGUCAAGGUCAAUUAUGUCCCCCCAAGGCCUAGUAUAUUGUCGUGAAGUUUGCCGUCAAUCCAUUAAAAAAUUGUGGGUAAUAUAACAUUUUUUUUUAAAUAAUUUUCACAUUUGAUGUGACCUUCACCCUGAUUUACACCAAUAUUAAAUCAGCUCAAGUUCUUAUUGGCGUCUACCAUCACAACAAAUUUGAACAUGAUACCGUGAAAAAUGUAGACACUAGACUCUAACAAACAGACAGACCAGUGGAGCCGAUUACAUUCUCCCUCCCUUCAUAGAGAGACUUACAUUAAUAGUAAGCUCAUCGGCAAUUCAAGCAGACUGCUAUAUCGAAGGUUAAAGUACAUUUCAUGAUAAAAUAUUCUUUGUCGUGAUUGUACAACAACUCAUGUGUGGACUGGCCAUCUACUUAUACCUUGUUCUAUAUCGAACAAUGUCAAACUGCUGCUUUUCAGCAGGAGAUAAUAUCAAUUACACCUACAUUUUUUUUUUGCUUGCUUUUAUCCAUUUUUAGUGCCGUGCCAUCAACUGUUUUCAUAGUAGUUUUUUUUUUACGUAUGUUUUUAACGUGGGGAGCCCACGUUAAAAACAUACGUAAAAAAAGAAAUAGAUAACGCUAUAAGAAAUAGAUAACGAGAUCCCAAUAAAUAAAGAAUAGAAACACAUUGCUUUGAUGGUGAACUUUGAAGGAAUGGAUCUUGUAAUUGUUUGAAAAAGUGCACCUAAAGAUCAGACCUUAUCAGUAGCAAAAUGCACGAGUUACGUGAAUGCAGCGUUCACUAAUGACUACAUUUCUUUUGCAUUGCAAUGCAUCUGUUUUCUACAAUCACAUGAACUCUUUACCCCUCCAAACGUCUGCAUCCAUGUCAGCGAUGAGUUUUGGGAUGGUUGCUUCUGCACAGAUUAGGAUAAGGCCCCCCUAUUCAUAUCUGAAGACCCUCUUGUUAGCGCCUCUUGACACUUGUUAUCUGACACUGACGUGCAGUUCAAUAACUCCGACUCCCUGCGCUCACGUCUUCUGUGACAGUGGAGACAGAAUUCAUUUCGGGUCUAAUGACAGAAUAACUAUUCAUGCAAGGAAUAUGUUACACAUUUUACAAAAAAAACUGAAAAAAGAUGCCUCUUUACUCUUAACUGUUACUCCAUUUGAAGAGAGGAAACUGUUACACUCACUAUAUUUUUUUCAUAUUUAGACAUUUGAAAGAAAUUAUAAUGCUAAUAAUGAAUGUAAGAAGAUCUGUGUUUGGAAGUGACUCAUUAUUAAGCCUUAAAAGAAGCUCAUUAGAGGAGAAACAGACGAAAGCCUUGUGCAAGGAAGACGUAUGCAGCUGUGUUCAGGUGCAUUACCAUCAGCUAAAGAAAUGGGCAGGUUAAUUAGCUUCCCUGCAGGGAAAAGACAAAACAAGAGGACAACAACAACGAAAAAAACUCUCUUUGUUUUUUUGGUUGUGUGAUUUUGGUAACACUAAAGAAUAAAAGGGCCUUUGGUUUUUGUAGCACGAUAAAAAGCUACAUUUUAUAAAAUGCCCAGAAUUGUCCUAUUUAUAAUUUCCUCUAUUAAAAACUAGAUUCAGAUUAUUAGAAUUAGGCAGGUUUUUAAAAGGUCAAGUACAUUUGCUUUGGUGAAUUAUCAUUCUUAAGACUUUGGCUUUUUUAUACUGCUAAACUAAAUAUUUGAUCAAUGUGCUCCAAUCCUUUUUUUCCAUUGAGGGAACUUUUGCAAAGUAAUAUUUUGUAAAAGAAGGUCUGUCUUUGUUCCAGAAGAUAUUGUUGUUAGGACACGUACAUGUAAGUGGACAAAAAAAAUGGCAUACAUACACAAACGAACAGUCAAAUCACAAACAUUUCAACUUCAGGAAAAAGUCCUAAAAUAUUGAUUUCUUUUUUUUAGAAUUUUUUAUUAUUAUAUGUAAACACGUGUGUGUGUGUGUGUGUGUGUGUAGUCUAGAAUACAUCCUUUACUUGCUAGCACUACAAUAAGUAUAGAAUACCAUACCACCAAGUAUGUGGAGCAUAAAGGUAAAUGAAACCAGAAACGUCAUAUGGACAGAAUUGUGAAUCUCCCUGUGGGGCGAGAAAGGAUCGAUGCCUUCAAGGAGACAUGUGACCUACUUGGCUUAACCUGCCUUUGUUCAGUUUGGUCUCGGAGCCAGCUGUGACACGUCUGCUGCUGUCAGCUGGAAUCAUUGGAUUGCGGGCCAGACGGAAGGAAAGGAGACAGUUUGCAUGUGUGUGCUUCUCCAGCGUGUCUGCGUAGGCAAAGAUGCCAGCUUGAAGUGCUGCGUGUCUGUGCGCAGCCGGGCCGCCUGGGAACACACUGACCAUAUGCACAGUAAUGUUGGCAGACAAGCCGUGUUAACGGCAGGAGAAAGGCCAUUCAACUCUGCUCACUUGGUCUGGCUUGGCUCCUGAAGUCUAGACAGCACCUGGAGAUGGUAAGUGCAGUACACACAUCAUAUAUGUGCCGUACUCUAACGAGAAUACAUGGUGGUAGAACAACUCCCACUUCAUCUGCUGGAAUGUGUUUCUUCACGUGGGAUUCGGUUAAAGUUUCUGCUCUACAUUUUCUGUUUGCGUGACUGUCUAUUAAGACAGGGUGACAGGAAGUGAAUACAAUAUUAGAUACACAGUAGUAUUUGGACAUGACCGACUUGACGGGUAAAAAAAUAAAAAUUCACAAAAUCUUUGCUUUAUCAGUUUGAUCACAGUAUAUUUAAAUCUCCAUACGACUAAGAAAAUAGAGCCUUUAGGGACAGGGAAACACAGUAAGAUAGGAACACUUUGCUAUUUCAGUACCCUGUAAAUUGUUUUUGUGCUUCAAAAAUAUUCAUCAAUUCAGUGUCAGGAAUUGUUUUUGUUCCCCCCCCCCAAGUCUCUCUUUCCAAUGACUGGCUGGGGGUUUUACAGUAAUGCUAUGUUCCUUAUCUGUCAUGACUUUUCAAGAUACUGGAAGAUACUGGAAGUGGUACCGUAAAUGAGCCUCUAGUGAGACAAAGCUUUCGGCUUUAAUUGGACCGCUAUUUAUAACGAAUAAAGUAGCUGACAGUCACUAUGCCUUUAUUCGUUGCAGGCAAUACGUGUGGAUUUUAUUUCACAGAGAGCUUAAUUUUUCCCUCCCCUGACUGUCAGCUCUGAGGCUUUGAAUGGAGAGUUGACAACACUGCGGCGCAGCCAGAUGACAGAAUGACUGGUUGAAAUCAGAAUUCAAAUGCAGGUUCGGAUUUGAUCGAGUUUGGCAAAAGCUGAAGAACAAUUACACCCAUUCGUCGUCAAAUUCUGACAAAAUCUAAAUUCCGAUUUAUUUGUCUUUUAAUCUUAACAGACAUUAGUGCUACUAGAAUUUUCCCAAAGUGUGCAAAUAAGCAAUAAUCUAACAGCUGCCUGAAAAGCAGACAAAAAGGGAGACAAAGGAAAAAGCUGGCUUCUUCAGCAAGCCUUUAGGUAUUGUGUGUGUUCAUCUGUGACCAGCUUACAUUUAUCUUUGUACUCGCUCUCACAAAAAGCUCACUUUUUCUUACUUUAAGGAUGUUAAAGUAAUUCUUUGUCCAGAGCUGGACUGGAUAAUCUGAUCAUUCGGGCAACAUCCAGAACAGCCAGUGGGGUGACCACAGUUAAUGGCCAUCAAGCCUGGAUAGAGGUGACCCCUCCUCCCCAAGACGGAUUGGCUGGUAGCAAGUGUCCAUAGAAGUUUGAUUAGCAUGCGCUCAUAUCCUCCUUACCUGUAGUAUCUUAACUAUGCUUAAAUGUUCAAACUGUAUGUCUUCUGAUACACGGUGGAACUACAAGUUAUUCAUCACUAUUAUUAUUAUUAUUUUAACACGACUGCUUUCAGACCUCUGUAGCCCAACAUAUUAGCGAUAUUUAUAAAAAGGGUUAGUGACGAUUAGCCUCACACAGUUUUCUGUAUUACUAGCUGCUAAUUUCAUUCAUUUCAUUUUACAAUCAGACAUUUAUAAUUUGAUUUCAACUUCAGCCCCUCCAUUCCCUUUUCUUUCUCUCUUUCCUCUCUCCUUGGCUCUCCUCUGCCAGGAUUCGCUGAACGUUACAAACCAGCCUAUCAUCUCAUCACAUACCUGCGUACUUAAGGACCAGGGUCUCUCGCUCCAUCUCCUUCAGUUUGUACAGCUAUUGUUGUGGUGAAGUCAGGCUCACUUAGCUUCAUGUUUUGUUUUGCUUUCAAGUACUUAGCCCAUGCUCACAUCUCCUGAUCCAGAAGUCCCUCGGUGUGUCGUCCAGUUGCCUGUGGCCUUUUGGAAAUUCCUCAGUGGCAAACUAAAAUCUUUUGGACUCCCGUGCUCAAGAAUAUCUACAGGCCUUUCCACUCGCUCCUAACUACUGCCGCUUCCUCUCUUCCUCCCUGUGGCAGAGCUCCUAAAUUUUCAUUGCAUGGUCUGGACUUUGGAAAUAAACCCUUUGAACUUGUACUGUGGUCUGCUUCUGCACUUAGGUCCACCUUUUCAAGAAGAAAUUAUGACACAGUGAGGCUGAUAAUUAUGUGGAGGGAGUUCAGCACUCUGAAAGAUUGCUUGGACAAAAAGUUCAACAAUUUAGGAAUAAAAUGAACUAAGCUUAAGAUGCAAAUAAUACAAAGAAAUCUCAGUAUGCAAGAGGCAAGGCUAAAAGCCGAUAAGCUUUAGGGCUGUUAUGUCUGCUUGUUAUCAGCACAUUGUUCAAAGCCCAUCAUGCACAAUAGUAUGGAAGUUCCUUGAUGCACACUUGAGUGAUGUAUACGAUGUCUUUAAAGAAACUCUUGGCUGUGUCAGAAACACAAACUGUAUUCAGCACUCGGUACAAUAACUAGGCUCACUGUGUUAAAUUGGUCUUCCUGCGGUCCAGAAUUUUCAAUCUCUGAAAUCAUUUGAAACAGAAAAUAACAAAAACUACAAAGUUGCUAAAUUCCUGCAUCAAUCUGGAAUUAAUUAAGCAUAAAAUUUUAAAACUAUACUCUACUACAUAUAUAAACUUAGCACAAAAAGUCAGGACCUUUGUGAUUGGUCGAUUAUAUUUUGGUUGUAACAAUGUUUCUUGGCAAUAAAUCUUAUACAGUUGGAAAGUCUGCUUAUUUGCUCUUUAUUUGGAGCCACAUUUGUAAGGAAAAUAAGUUUGUGGUAUGAGCAGCAGAGUUCAGUAUGGGUGCUGCACCCCUGAAAAACUUGCCAGAUCUUCUCUGCCAACGCCAAACAGCUUAUUCUGCUGUUGACUCUUGUUUGGUGUUGUGUACUGGAUUAGAUGAUUAAAGUCUUAAUAAACAAGUCAUAUUGGCAAUUCCAGAAUUCAUUCAUUUAUCAAACAGGGGCUUCAGUAACAUUUAGAAGGACCAUACAGAGCCACAACAGCCUGGCAACUCUUCCUCGUGCAGCACACACUGAUGUAGGAUGGUAUUCCAUUCUUUAACCAGCAUUUGUAGCAGGUCAGCCAAUAUGGUUGUGUUGGUCACUCUGGAAUAAACAGCAGCACCAAGCGUAUCCCACAAGUGUUCAGUGGGGUUGAGGUAAGGACUGCAGGCAAGCCAUUUCAUCUACUCCACGCCACCAAAUUCUCGAGGUAGUCAUUGAUAAACCCCGCUCUGUGGGGGCGAGUGCUGUUAUCUUGGAGGAUAGAUUUCACUCCCAGACUGUGGAGAUAUGGGAUCGCCGCUGGUUGCAGAAUCUCUCUGCUUUGAGAUUGCCUCCAAUGAUGACAUGCCUUGUUCUUCCCCAACGAGGGCUGCCCGAUACGACACACUGUUCUCCAUGUCUUCUCCACACUUUGACACUACGAUCCAACUGCCCACAGGCAGAAUCUGGAUUCGAGCCUGCCAGUGAAGGGUCAUGGCAAGCCUCCUGUUAGCCCCAGGAGAGUGGAGAUUGGCUGUGUGCAGUCUGUUGACAUCCCCGAUCUGUGGAACUUGGCCUUCAGUUUGGAGAUGAUAAGCUACUGGGGCUCACUUUAAAUAAUACUGCAACUUAGUUUUCCAGAGCAGCUUGAAGUCGCCUUGAUGCACCAAAGAAAUAAUCGAUCAAUCACAAAUGUCCUUGAUUUAUAUCAUUAAAAAUAUGUAUAAAUAUAAAAAUCUUACAAACACAUUCCAACUAUUUUGGAAAUUGUGUUAUAAUUACGCUAAGAUGCAAAGGUUUAGUAAUGCAUACGGCAUAACUUAUGUGAAAAAACACCACCUGAACAAUGUCUUCAUAAAUAAAUAAAUAGGUUAAGCAGAGGAUCUGGGUGUCAUAAGAGAGGUAUUGAGAUUUUAAAAUUUUCCAAAGAGUAUUACUGGGCAAGUAGUACAUAGGAGCUGUAAGGUAAAUGGUUCUGUCCGUGCUUUGAUGCAUUGAGUGUUCACCAUUGCUAUAAAAACAACCCGAGAAUUUUAUGCUUAUGGUUAAACAUCACUGGCACACAUUUAGUCCACUUAACCUCUGACCCCACUCUUCUGCAUAACAAAAAGCUUGCAGUUAUGCAACCAUGAAAAAAAAAAACCCAAAAGCCUCACGUCCUAAAAUCAACAGUGAACAUGUUAUCAAUACAUUUGUAUUUAAUAUUCUAAACUAAGUAUGUGCACUAGGAUGAUGUAUGUGCACAACAUCAGCACAGUGAGGCUUCCUUAAUGACACACGACAACCAGAGAAGAUUUAUUAAAGAAAUGUUCUUCGUGAUUGUUUUGGACAGCUGGGUAUCAAAUGAAAAUUUAAAUACAACAUUUGACUUACAAAAAUUAUUCCAACCAAGCAGGAAAAAACGCCGAUGGGGUCCCCAGAUUAAACAAAAUGUGCAAGCCAGCUUCUGCAUCUCAGUGCUUGUAGAUAAACUUUUGGCUAUCGCUUUGCUACAAAAUGCCUGUGGUGGUUUGAUUCUUGAGAUGGACUGUACGUUGCUGUGAUUUCAAACGAGUGGGAGAGUGGCUGUUCCCAGAGCAAAGCCGGAGCUGACUCAGGCACUCUAACCCCUGCGCCCCAAAUCACACAGCGCUGCUAUCUGCCAGAGGAUACAAUCAAGGAAACACAUCAAAGUUCAGUCUCUGGAGCUGAUUUGCUCACACGCGUGCCUACAAUAUGUGCCGGCAUGUAAACAGAAACACGUUUAUUGAACCGCUCGCUAAUUGCACAUGAAUACUCGGUAGCAUGACUCAUAAUGGAAGUGCAAUUAGGUCUCUAUCACUGGCUUUGAACCAAACACUGCUCCGACUCGUAUGCGGCAAUGGCGCUUUCAACUGCAGCCCAUCCACGUGCUUGUUUGCCUGAUCCCACCUGAGGGAUGGUCUGUGGGCUUCCUGCCCACCUGAAUGUCAGUACCUCCUCCACCCCCCCAGCCCCCACUCAUUUUUGUCAACUAUUUCAACUUCUCAUUUACACCCCAACCUUCCUGCUUCUAUUAGUGGUGCAGUCAUGUGUGACAUCAGUUGGGAUACAGUCCAAUGCCUGGGCUGGAGUCCAGAACCAAUGUGCAUUUUACUCCUGAAUAGGUGUGCGUGCACGUGUAUCUGUGUGUUUAAAAGCGUUUCUGAUAUUUGCUCAGCUUGAAGAUCCUCUCAUGUUGUCUGUAAUCGCUUGUAAUAAUGUUGUUCAGGAACAUUCUUAGCCUCCCUCCGCCCGCGCUAUCCAAACUGGCAGUCCAGUCUGUCUCAGAUCUUGUUGACAUCUGACGACAGCCAAGCUUGACAUGUGCAUCCAUAUUAAUGAGACCAUUAAGUCAUUUAUUCGCCAGCUGAUUUACAUUGCACAGGGGGAGAGGUCCUGAAUCAAAGGGAUUUCAAAACAUUUCACAAAAUUUGAAAAUCAGAUGAGUCAAGCCGUUUAUUUCUCGAGCAUAAUGUGGCUUUUGGCCCUAAACUUCAUUUAAAUCCUGAUUCCUUCAUUAGGCAAAUAGCGAGAGUGGCUGCUUCUGCACUAAUUCAAUUUGCUGAACACAAAAAAAAAGAUUGAAGCUUGUAUGUCGGCACGUGAGCACAUGCAUUAAGUACAGCCUCAAACAAAUCAACAUAUUCAUAAGCGUGUGAGCAUGUACAAACAAUAUGAAUCCCCUCAUAUUAAUCUUCUCUUCUUGGCCAGGACUCACUAAAAUCUUAUCUACUUGUCUGGUUGUCUCUGGCCUCGAGGGAAGAAUGUGCAUGUAGCAGAGCCUGGCGGAGCAGAGCAGAGCAGGAAAGACGAAGUCGGGAUUUGUAUGCGACAGGAGGCACCUUUAGGAGGAGUGUGUCUGGUCUGUCUGACGCUCAGUGAUUCUCUGCGGGUAGGGAGCAGAAGCUCGCUCAGUUGGAGGAAAAGACUUAUGAGCUUUAUUGAUCACAAGCUCAUACAGCGGGUGGAGGAAAGGCUGGUUGUGAGGGGUGGGGGUUCUCCCUCUGAAUAAAACAGAGCUUUUCUUUUUUAAAUCAAGAUCGCAACAGGUGAGGUAACUGAAGAAUUCAUCAGUGUCAGAGAGUAAAUUAAAAAGAUAAGCUCAGCAGGAGCAUUUGUUUGUCUUCUAAAAAAAAAAUCUAAUAUGUUCUGUUAUCGAGUCGGUGGACAAACAUCAGCCUGCGCAAAUCUGGCUUGUAUCACAUCCACCAGAGGAAGAUUAUGACAUCAGUAUCGCUGGAUUUUAGGGAGCCACAUCACUGGAACAAAUGACGCACGCUCGGUUGGACAAAGCACGUGAAAAUUGUAUGAUGGGCCUCCGGUUCACUGGCGUGCGAUGAGAUUAUUGCAUGCUUCUGCUGCUCAGGUCAACCUAGUGAUGACAGUUGUACUUUUAAAUAAUCCAUCACAGCAGCAGCUCUCACUGUUGGGUUUGAAGGAGUCACCACAAGAUUUAUGUCCAAUUGUUGGGUUUUGAUGCGACCUUGGUGAACUGCGUGGAAGUAAACGUGAACACAAACUCGCCUUGUCCCAAAGUGCACUGGAAGGUUUUUUACUAACUAAUCUGUGAGUUUGGAGUUUGAACAUGCCUGUGGGGAGUUUAGGACUUUUAAAAAACAACUUUUAUAUCAGUUUUUAUUUUUCCUGUUUUAGUAGAUGUCUGCAUAUGCGGUGACCUGCAAAAGAGCUCAAGGUGUAGGUGGUAAGUCAUAGAGGUAGCUAAAGUGACUGUUUAACCUAAGAAGCUACUCCACAAGAAAAGCACAAUCUUUUCAUUUUGUUACCAACAAUACAUGUGCAACAAUGUGUGUGCGCAUCCUUCUGGGUGAAUUGUGCAGCCUGUGGCCUGCCUAGCUGCAGACUCAUCAACUCUGCAAUAAGUUUAGUAAGCCAAACUGUUGAAACACCAUUUGCAGUACCUGUCUAUCAGAGUUUUACCAGACAGCCUUUCUGGAGCUCUUCAUGCUUUCUACGGCAUCUGUUGGUAUAAACAAAGCCUCUUAGAAAGAGUCUCAUCGCAUGACAGGUAUAUAAGUGAGCACAGAAAGCUAAUAUCUGAGAUUCACAGUUUUUAUACUCUACAAUACUAAAAGUAUUCACUCACCCAUUGUUCCAAUCACUUACCCAGCCACAGGUGUAUAAAAUCAAGAACCCAGCAUGCAGACUGUUUCUAUAAACAUUUGUGAAAGCAUGGGUCGCUCUCUGGAGCUCAGUGAAUUCCAGUGCGGUAUGAUGAUAGGAUGCCACCUGCGCAGAUCCAGUCCAGUUUCUCACUACAAAAUAUUCCAUAGUUCUAGUGGUAUUACAAGAAAGUGGAAGCCACAUAAAAACAUAGAGCAGGGUCAGCAGAUCCUGAGGCGCAUAGUGCUCAGAGGUCACCAGCUAUCUGCAGAGUCAAUCACUAAAAUUUCCAAACUUCACAUGGCCUUCAGAUUAGCUUAAGAGUAGCUGAGUGCAUAGAGAGCUUCAUGAAAUGGGUUUCCAUGACUGAGGAGAUGCAUCCAAGCCUUACAUCACCAAGUGCAAUGCAAAGCGUUGUGGUGGAACACAGUGGAAAGGCCACUGGACCCUAGAGCAGUGGAGAAGUGCUCUCUGGAGAGACGAAUCACGCUUCUCUGUCUGGCCAGCGGCUCCUUCCUGUUCCAACCUGACUUCGCACCUGCACAGAUUCCUGACCUCAACUCAACAGAAACACCUCUGGGAUGAAUUAGAGUGGAGACUGUGAGCCAGGACUCCUUGUCCAACGUCAGUAUGUGACCUCAGAAAUCCACUUCUGGAAGAAUUGUUAAAAAAUCCCAUAAACACUCUUAAACCUUGUCAAAAUCCUUUCCUGAAGCAUUGAAGCUGUUAUAGCUGCAAAGGAUGGGCCAACAUCAUUAGACCCUUCGGUUUAAGAAUGCGAUGUCACUCAAGUGUAUAUGCGUGUGAAGGCAGAUGAGUGAAUACUUUUGGCAAUAUAGUCUGUGUUGUGCGUGUUUGUAUAUGGGA